GAUGAACGCUGGCGGCGUGCCUAAUACAUGCAAGUCGAGCGAACAGACGAGGAGCUUGCUCCUCUGACGUUAGCGGCGGACGGGUGAGUAACACGUGGAUAACCUACCUAUAAGACUGGGAUAACUUCGGGAAACCGGAGCUAAUACCGGAUAAUAUAUUGAACCGCAUGGUUCAAUAGUGAAAGACGGUUUUGCUGUCACUUAUAGAAGGAUCCGCGCCGCAUUAGCUAGUUGGUAAGGUAACGGCUUACCAAGGCAACGAUGCGUAGCCGACCUGAGAGGGUGAUCGGCCACACUGGAACUGAGACACGGUCCAGACUCCUACGGGAGGCAGCAGUAGGGAAUCUUCCGCAAUGGGCGAAAGCCUGACGGAGCAACGCCGCGUGAGUGAUGAAGGUCUUCGGAUCGUAAAACUCUGUUAUUAGGGAAGAACAAAUGUGUAAGUAACUAUGCACGUCUUGACGGUACCUAAUCAGAGAGCCACGGCUAACUACGUG
rnacentral:rRNA from 1 species